rnacentral:rRNA from 1 species
GGGGAAUAUUGCACAAUGGGCGCAAGCCUGAUGCAGCAACGCCGCGUGAGUGAAGAAGUAUUUCGGUAUGUAAAGCUCUAUCGGCAGGGAAGAAAGGCCCGAAAGGGAGAUGACGGUACCUGACUAAGAAGCCCCGGCUAACUACGUGCCAGCAGCCGCGGUAAUACGUAGGGGGCAAGCGUUAUCCGGAUUUACUGGGUGUAAAGGGAGCGCAGACGGCAGUGCAAGUCUGAUGUGAAAGCCCGGGGCUCAACCCCGGAACUGCAUUGGAAACUGCACAGCUGGAGUGUCGGAGAGGUAAGCGGAAUUCCUAGUGUAGCGGUGAAAUGCGUAGAUAUUAGGAGGAACACCGGUGGCGAAGGCGGCUUACUGGACGAUAACUGACGUUGAGGCUCGAAAGCGUGGGGAGCAGAC